rnacentral:rRNA from 1 species
CCUACGGGAGGCAGCAGUUUUUAAUAUUUCACCCUUUUUUCCCCCCUUCUUCCGCGCCGCCGCGUGCGUGAAGAAGUAUUUCGGUAUGUAAAGCUCUAUCAGCAGGGAAGAAGAAAGACGGUACCUGACUAAGAAGCCCCGGCUAACUACGUGCCAGCAGCCGCGGUAAUACGUAGGGGGCAAGCGUUAUCCGGAUUUACUGGGUGUAAAGGGAGCGUAGACGGCUGUGCAAGUCUGAAGUGAAAGCCCAGGGCUCAACCCUGGGACUGCUUUGGAAACUGUGGAGCUAGAGUGCUGGAGAGGUAAGUGGAAUUCCUAGUGUAGCGGUGAAAUGCGUAGAUAUUAGGAGGAACACCAGUGGCGAAGGCGGCUUACUGGACAGUAACUGACGUUGAGGCUCGAAAGCGUGGGGAGCAAACAGGAUUAGAUACCCCAGUAGUC